GCUGACGUGGCUCAAUGGUAGAGCGAGUGAUUUGUAAUCACUAGGUUGGAGGUUCGAUUCCUCUCGUCAGCU
rnacentral:tRNA from 1 species